rnacentral:sRNA from 1 species
AGAUUCUUGCACAACACAGUUUGUCUUCCAAAACCGUGUCUCAGAUUUUUCCUAUUGUAUUUCAUUCUCUCAUAAAUCUUCAAUGAAGUUUGCAACAUCAAUUCAUAAGAGAUAACUAAAUUCAAUUGGGUAUAAAAUUUGUUCUAUUGAUGUCUUUGAAAAUCUGAGACAUAGUUUUGGAGGUCAAGCUGUGUUGUACAAGAAUCU